rnacentral:lncRNA from 10 species
AUGAGCUUUUCAGGGGAUACUGAUGCGGGAUCAAAUUUGAGAAGCACUGGUCUAGGUCUUAGAUCCUCUUGCUUCAGUUUCGUCAUUGGAUCUCAGGAAUGUUCAGCUGCCCUCUCAAGGCAACUUCUUACUUCACUUGACCUUCCAAGACCUCUCGUUCUGUCAAACCCCAAUUUUGGAUCAACCCAGGCAUGCUUCCCUCAUGUGUUCCAAAGCUGGUCAGAGUAGUCUACACCACUAUCUGCUUCAACUUCUAGUAACGUCUAAGCCUUCAGCAGUUUUGCUUAUGAAACUGCUUCACUGAAGUUCUCCACCACCAAGUAGUCAGCUGGCAUCGGAAUUCGGCUUGUGUCAAAUGGAACUCAACAUCUUCCUCUUCAGGACAUCCCCUAUUUUCAUCCUCCCAUGCCAGGAUUACAGGCGUAAAACUCCCAUGCUGGGCUGGUCAAAGUGCUGGGAUUACAGGCAUAAGACAACGCACCUGGAACUUGGCUUGUGUCAAAUGGAACUCAACAUCUUCCCUUUUACUAAACCCCACCCAACAUUCACUGCG